rnacentral:rRNA from 1 species
UACGAAGGUGGCAAGCGUUGUUCGGAUUUACUGGGCGUACAGGGCGCGUAGGCGGGAUGGUAAGUCGGUCGUGAAAUCCCUCGGCUCAACCCGAGGAACGUCGAUCGAUACUACCGUUCUUGAGGAUUGCAGAGGAGACUGGAAUUCCCGGUGUAGCGGUGAAAUGUGUAGAGAUCGGGAGGAACACCGGUGGCGAAGGCGGGUCUCUGGGCAAUUCCU